rnacentral:rRNA from 1 species
CCCUUAUCCUUGUUUGCCAGCGAGUAAUGUCGGGAACUCCAGGGAGACUGCCGGUGAUAAACCGGAGGAAGGUGGGGACGACGUCAAGUCAUCAUGGCCCUUACGAGUAGGGCUACACACGUGCUACAAUGGCGCAUACAGAGGGCGGCCAACUUGCGAAAGUGAGCGAAUCCCAAAAAGUGCGUCGUAGUCCGGAUUGGAGUCUGCAACUCGACUCCAUGAAGUCGGAAUCGCUAGUAAUCGUGGAUCAGAAUGCCACGGUGAAUACGUUCCCGGGCCUUGUA